AUUUAUUCUACUAUAGCUGACGUCACGGGGGGAACUGUAACAACAAUGUCAGACAGAAUGGGAGCAAGGGUCUGUAUUCUAAUAAGGUGGAGGCAAGCCCUGUUGAAUUCUCUGCUGUAGUCCUGACUGGGCAUUGAGGGUUGCCUGAGGCUGGCACUGUAGUCCUCAGUGGCAUCACCUGAUUUAUAUUUCUGUUUAUUCAUGACUCACCUGAGCAGAAACUUGCUCCUAUUGGCUAGCUACUUCAGCUAGCAUAAACUCAGUAUGUUUUGAAGAAAACAGUUGGUGCUUAUAGCACAUCAACAUUUCAAAGUCUUGGUUCUGAGUUUCGUUACCUACUAUGGACUUUACCUCAUGACGAUGAACAUUUUUUUGUUUGUUUAUUAUUAUUGCAGUGGUUACGGAUCUUCACCACCCUAUUCCCAGAUGGACAGAGAACACAGCUCAAGAACAAGUGCAAAGGCCCUUUAUGGUAUGUAUGGCUAUGUGAUGGGUGCUGUCUAUGUCUAACUCCUGAGAGGUUUGCGUGUUUUAAGGUUACUGUUCAAGCGCUUAACUGGUUGGAACAUUUGAAAUGACAGAGCUAGCUAGGUAAUGGCCGUUUUAGAAUCUUUACAUAACCAGAGCUAUGAGCUCUUACUUCUUCAUAUGUCCUGUGGCUGAAACGUACUGAGAGCUUUAAGAAGGUCAGUGCUGGGUACUGAGGCCUCAAGUGGGAUGCCCCUCUGUGCUAUUUGCGACGUGAUGUGUGUGCUGCUCUUUGUGGCUAAGUAGGCUGAUGACUGAGCGCUCCCGAGCGAUGCACCUUUUUCCCAGGUGGCUUUGACCUCACUAUGUAGCCAAGGAUAAUCUUGAACUAUGAAUCCUCCUCCCUCUACCUCCUGAGUCCUAACCUUUGCGGUCAUAUGCCACCAUGUCCCGUUUAUUUUGUCCUUUGGACUGACGCCAGGGCUUUGUGCAUGCUAGACACCACUCUACCCAUGAACCACAACCUCAGCCCUGCUUACUAUUAUUUUUUUUUAUAGCUAAAAUAUACUACAAGCUACUAAAAAUGAAAUUGAAGACUCUUGAGGCAUGCACAUAGGCUAGGGAAGGUUAUUGUUUGUAGAGGAUUUGUAUGGCCUUUCCUUAUUGUAUAGCAAUAAAUAAAUCAAGAUAGAAACAUGGUUAAUAGCCAAAUUCCCUUGGUCAAGCAGAGUCCUACCACAGAGUGACUGAGUGACCUUGAGCAAGUGACUUCACCUGCUUGUACCUCGUUUUGCUCAUCUUCCCCAGGUUGCUAUCUGGAAACACUGUAAUGAGAACUAAAUAAAUUAGAGUACACUGUUUCCAAAGUAGUGUAGGAGCAGACAAUGCUGUAAAUAUUUCCUAUCAUUAGGCUUAUCAUCAUUGCUACUGUGUAUUAUAGGAAAAGUAGCAUUUUCUAAAUUUGGGAAUUAUUAUACAUUGCUAGGUUUAUGAGUUUGGUGGUAAGACUCACCAAUCCUAAAGUUUAGUGAUUUGUUUUGACCUAUAUUAGUGAGUUGACUUUACAACUCAAGUCAUGCAUUCAUUAAAUGGAUUUACUUCCACAUAUAAAUGUGUUUUUCAGUGGUUAUGAUAAUGUCAGUAAUGCUGCUCUUAAUUUUCUGUGUAUUAUAAUUGAGACUUUUUUUAUUAUUAAGUUGACUCUUUGACAGUUGUGUAGAUGUAUAUAAUGUAUUCUGGUCAUUCCACCCCCUUUACCCUCCCAUCUCUAUCCUCCACACUCCCUAGAUGUCCUUUCCACAGGUCUAUGUCUUUGGUUGUUUUGUUUAGUUUAUCCAGAGCCAUUCACAUGCCCAGAGAAUUGGAACUAUCCGCUGGAGCCUGCUGCAGUCACCAGUGGAUGUGCAAUAGAAGGCAAUGACUCCACAUCUCCCCAGAUUUAUUGGGAGCCAGCAGUUCAUUAGUGAGGGCUGAGUUCCCCCGAGUCCCUCCUCCAUCCAUGCCGGACUGUUGACAGGCCUGUUCUUGUGCAGACUCAGUGCAGGCGUUAGCAGUUGCCAUGAGUCUGUGAUUGCAAUGGUCGUGUCUUUCACAGGAGAUGGAUGGCAUUUCACAGUGCUUUUCUCUGCCAUCCACAUCUUACAUUUCUUCCUUUCCCUUCCCCACAAUGUUCCCUGAGCCUUUCAGGAUGUGGUGUAAAUGGCUUGUAUAAAGCUGAGCAGUAGCCCAUCCUUGCUCUCAGCCCCUUCAGCUGCUGUGAGCCUAUUUAUUGGAAAAAGAGGUUCCUCUGAUUUUUCAGAGUGCCAUGUGUCUGUGGGCAAUAACCACAUUGGGACAUUUUUACCACAGCUUAGUCACUUGUGGCUUGUAUAUAGAGGGUGCAUUCAGCACCUACUUAUUUUGUGAUAAAUAUGUGUUCAAAAUAGGACCAGUAGUAAUGUCUGAUCCAAGGGUCUUAUAGUGUGGAGACUGGCUUGAAGGAUGAAAUGGUUUGUGUGAGGAUUAAAUAAUCCCUUCAACCUGACAUUUCUAGAUGGAUAUUUAUUAAAUCCAUUGGUAUGCUGGAUCAUCAUCAUCAUCAUCACCUCUGUUUCCAUGAAUUCCUAACUCAGUUCAAAGAUAAAUGACAGAUUGUCACUGUCAGUGUGAGUUUUGGUGAGAUAGACUAGCAGGAACUGUUUCUUAACUCAUAUGACCACAUAUCCAAGUUGAACCAAGGGGAUGUGAACAACGGAACCACUUAAAUACAGACACAGACAGAAACACACACACACACACACACACACACACACACACACAUUUAUAUGGAGAGAGAGAGGGAGGGAGAAAGAGAGAGAGAGGGAUAUAUAUAGAGAGAGGGGGGCGGGGAAGAGAACAAUGAGUUCGAAGCCAUUUUCAAGUCUUCAAGCAGAAGAGAGCCCAGGAAUGUAUUAUUGGAUUCACUUCUGAGUUCUAUUAGCCCUUAAAAGGCUCCCGCAUGCUGCCCCAGAAGCAGAAAGAGAAAGAACACUAUCAAACUCUUUUUAUGAAGUCAGUAUUAUUCUGAUAAUAAAAUUGGAGAAGGACAUAACAGAAAUGGAACUAUAAAUCAGUUUCCUUGAUGAACAUAGAUCCAAAAAAUUCUCAAUAAAAUACUUGCAAAAUAGAAUUCAGCAACACAGUGAAAAUAUCAUAACCCAUGGCUAUGUUGGUUCCAUUUCUGAAAUGUAAGGAUGUUUCAGCACGUGUAACCCAUAAACGUAAGAUAGCACAUGCGUAGAGUGGGGGAAAUACAUAACUAUCUCAGUAGGUACGGAUUAAGCCUUUAUCAAAAUCCACCAACAUCAUUCACAGUAAGAUAAGGCAAGAUAAAAGAAUGAAGAACAUACAU
rnacentral:lncRNA from 1 species